GGAAGAAACCCAUUCCCAAGUCCCAACCAGUAACCACCAUAAUUUGAUGAUUUGAUCCAACCCUCCAAAUAGAAUGUUUUCAGACUUAGUCCAUCACUAUUUCCUCUAUGAAUUGAAUUUUAGUUUUGGAAAGGACCUAUGGAUUUCUAAAAGUCUGAGCAUGGCGGAGGAACACAACUACCCGAAAGUCACCGCCCAUGCGCCAACUAUUACAGCUUUUUCGAAAGCCCCGCGACGUAGAAUUACUGCUCCAAAUGCUACCGGGACAUCUGCCUCAAGGGCUCCCAAUCGAAACCCAAUACUCCGGUGGAUUCCAUGUUCGCCACGUAUGGCGUCAGCACCGUUAGAGAAUUUGAAGGGAAGAAUGGUCGCGGCGCCGGUGCAGUAACAACCACAAACAGUCAAUGAAUCGAUGCUCGAAUUGCCGGAAGAAGGUUGGGUUGACUAGAUUUCGGUGUUGGUGCGGGGUCAUUUUCUGUGGGGUUCACAAAUACCCCGAGACUCACGGAAGGACCAUAAGUGGUUAGAAACCAAAAGUAAGAGGAUUAGGGGUAGAUUUAAAAGUUGAGGACUAAAAGUGGCGGUGCCAUCAAAGUCGGAGGACCUUCGUCGGACAAAUCUUCAAACUCUUUUUUACCCCAACCUAUCGCGCUAAUGCUAAACCUACGGAGUCAGUGAUCUCCAUCCUCAACCGAUUUGUACACUGAUAAAGUGAUCUCCAUCCUCAACCAAGUCAUUGCCAUCUUCAAUCUAAAGCUAUGGAGUUAGACAUCCACAUCUUCAACCGAAAGAUAUACUGCACAUUUUCUCAUACUUGUCUAGGGAUCUGAACUUUCUCGAGCACACAAGUAACAUUGGUUCGAAGGAGUAUCAUCGGGCGAGGCCUAUAAUCAUAGAUCCUGGCUUAUAUCAUUCUAAGAAAUCUGGUGUAUUUUGGGCCAAGGAGACGAGGUCAUUGCCUGCUUCUUUUAUGCUCUUCAUGGGUACUUACUAUUUUCUUCGACUCCUCCUUGAUCAGAUCUUCUAAAUUGUGGGCGAGAUGUAGCUUUUAAUUGCCUUUUCCACAUACUAUUAAUUAGAUCGUUAUUAGUCGAUAUCUUGCAAGAACUGGUUUUGGAUUUAAGAUAUGAUAUGUAGCUCCUAUCUGGUUUGGUUUGGUUUGGUGUUUUGUGUUAGAAGGAAAUAGGAGAGCAUAUUGAGGAAAAAGUAAGAUAGCUUCAGAACUCUACAGAAUUACAUAAUCAUUUGGGAGAAAAGACCCAAAGACUCAAUUUUUGAGUCUUGCAAAUAUUAAAUCUUUCUUUGUGUGUA